GCCAGUGUGGCAUAGUGGUUUGACCAUUAGACUGUGAUUCUGGAAACCAGGGUUCGAUUCCCCACUCAGCUA